rnacentral:rRNA from 1 species
UAGGGAAUCUUCGGCAAUGGGGGGAACCCUGACCGAGCAACGCCGCGUGAGUGAAGAAGGUUUUCGGAUCGUAAAGCUCUGUUGUUAAGGAAGAACGAGUGUGAGAAUGGAAAGUUCAUACUGUGACGGUACUUAACCAGAAAGGGACGGCUAACUACGUGCCAGCAGCCGCGGUAAUACGUAGGUCCCGAGCGUUGUCCGGAUUUAUUGGGCGUAAAGCGAGCGCUGGCGGUUAGAUAAGUCUGAAGUUAAAGACAGUGGCUCAACCAUUGUAUGCUUUGGAAACUGUUUGACUUGAGUGCAGAAGAGGGGAGUGGAAUUCCGUGUGUAGCGGUGAAAUGCGUAGAUAUAUGGAGGAACACCGGUGGCGAAAGCGGCUCUCUGGUCUGUAACUGACGCUGAGGAUCGAAAGCGUGGGGAGCGAACAGG